rnacentral:tRNA from 1 species
UUUUGAAUAGCUCAUUUGGUUAGAGCAAUCGAUUAUCACUCGAUUGGUAACAGGUUCGAGUCCUGUUUCAAAACCUA